AUUGAACGCUGGCGGCAGGCCUAACACAUGCAAGUCGAUCGGAGCGGCGGACGGGUGAGUAAUGCCUAGGAAUCUGCCUGGUAGUGAGGGAUAACGUCCGGAAACGGGCGCUAAUACCGCAUACUCUCAGAUGAGCCUAGGUCGGAAUAGCUAGUUGGGGGGGUAAAGGCCUACCAAGGCGACGAUCCGUAACUGGGCUGAGAGGAUGAGCAGUCACACUGGAACUGAGACACGGUCCAGACGCCUACGGGAGGCAGCAGUGGGGAAUAUUGCACAAUGUGCGCAAGCCUGAUGCAGCCAUGCCGCGUGUAUGAAGAAGUCCUUCGGGUUGUAAAGUACUUUCAGCGGGGAGGCGUUACCCGCAGAAGAAGCACCGGCUAACUCCGUGCCAGCAGCCGCGGUAAUUC
rnacentral:rRNA from 1 species